rnacentral:rRNA from 1 species
AACGAACGCUGGCGGCAUGCCUAACACAUGCAAGUCGAACGAACCCUUCGGGGUUAGUGGCGCACGGGUGCGUAACGCGUGGGAACCUGCCUUUAGGUUCGGAAUAACUCAGAGAAAUUUGAGCUAAUACCGGAUAAUGUCUUCGGACCAAAGAUUUAUCGCCUUUAGAUGGGCCCGCGUUAGAUUAGAUAGUUGGUGGGGUAAUGGCCUACCAAGUCGACGAUCUAUAGCUGGUCUGAGAGGAUGAUCAGCCACACUGGGACUGAGACACGGCCCAGACUCCUACGGGAGGCAGCAGUGGGGAAUAUUGGACAAUGGGCGAAAGCCUGAUCCAGCAAUGCCGCGUGAGUGAUGAAGGCCUUAGGGUUGUAAAGCUCUUUUACCAGGGAUGAUAAUGACAGUACCUGGAGAAUAAGCUCCGGCUAACUCCGUGCCAGCCGCCGCAGUAA